rnacentral:rRNA from 1 species
UACGAAGGGGGCUAGCGUUGCUCGGAUUGACUGGGCGUAAAGGGCGCGUAGGCGGCUUGUACAGUCAGACGUGAAAACCCGAGGCUCAACCUCGGGCCUGCAGCCGAUACGGGCAGACUAGAGUUCGGCAGGGGAGACUGGAAUUCCUGGUGUAGCGGUGAAAUGCGCAGAUAUCAGGAGGAACACCGGUGGCGAAGGCGGGUCUCUGGGCCGAUACUGACGCUGAGGAGCGAAAGCGUGGGGAGCAAACAGG